UACGUAGGGGGCAAGCGUUGUCCGGAAUCAUUGGGCGUAAAGCGCGCGUAGGCGGCCCGGUAAGUCCGCUGUGAAAGUCCAGGGCUCAACCCUGGAAAGCCGGUGGAUACUGCCGGGCUAGAGUCCGGAAGAGGCGAGUGGAAUUCCUGGUGUAGCGGUGAAAUGCGCAGAUAUCAGGAGGAACACCAAUGGCGAAGGCAGCUCGCUGGGACGGUACUGACGCUGAGGAGCGAAAGCGUGGGGAGCGAACAGG
rnacentral:rRNA from 1 species